rnacentral:snRNA from 1 species
UGCCCGAGAAACCUAACUCGC